rnacentral:rRNA from 1 species
AAAGGCAGAAGGGAGGUUGACUGUGACACCGAAGGGAGGAGCAGGGACGAAAGUAGGACUUAGGGAACCGGUGGUAUAAAGUGGGAUUGCGAUAGCUCGACGGAAAAAAGCUACCCUGGGGAUAACAGGCUUAUCACUCCCAAGAGUUCAAAUAGACGGAGUGGUUUGGAACCUCGAUGUCGGCUCAUCGCAUCCUGGAGCGGUAGCAGGUUCCAAGGGUUGGGCUGUUCGCCCAUUAAAGCGGUACGCGAGCUGGGUUCAGAACGUCGUGAGACAGUUCGGUCCCUAUCCGGCGCAGGCG